UAAAUCUUUAAAGUGAAUAUAAAUCAGAAAUAUAUAUAGCCUGAAAGUGCAUUCAUAAUUGAAUUUCUACUCUUGCACUAUUCAUGAAUUACUCAAGCUUUAUGGUUCUUCGCAUGAAAUGCAGGACUAUUUACUCAAAGGCUAUCUCUAAACACUGACUUAUCUAGAGAGCUGUUUUAUGUUACAUUUCAAAAUCCAUAGAACUUGGGACAGAGAUGGCAGGCAGGAGAGUCCUUAUCAUACCAUACAUCAAAUUCCAAGUAUAAAUCUCAAGACAAUGAACCAAAUAGUAAAGAAAGGGAACUCAAAUACAAAACAGAAGAUGUAGGAAGCAAACACAGGGUCCAGUCAAAAUGUAAGCAUCUGAGUCUUUUUUGAUGACAGACAGACAGACAGACAGACAGUGUUUGUGUAUGUAUGGGUGUGUGUGUAUUGUGACAUUGCCAUUCUAGAACACCCAAUCAAACAGUGGAAACAGAAGUACCUUUUGCUGAUAGUUAGCCAAGGUGUGCAGGAAGUAGAUCACAAUAACAAUGGGGGACUUUGGGGACUUUAAAUAACCUGACACCAACUCGGAUCAAACAGGUUCCUAAUGAAGUUAGCAGACAACUUUUUCCUCCAAAAGGUAGAGGGGAGAACUAGAGGAUGAAAGUUCCAUACUUGGUUGGUCAACAAAAAAAAACUGAUUUGUAAGGGCAUUUAAAUAGAAGAAAGUAUACUGAUGAAGAAGAAGAAGAUGAUGAUGGUCUAUUGAAUUUAGAAGAUCAUUAAGUUAAAGAAAAUUACUCCAGGACACAUGCAGUGAUGUAUUGCCAUAAAAUAACAAAAACUACUACUGUACUACAAUAUCCCAGAUACAAUAAAAGCAGACAUUGGGGAAAUUCACCAAAAGAAGAUUCCAACCAUUCAGCAGAAUGAUUACCUUGACUCAAGGCGUUCUUGAAAAGUCGGGGUUUUAAUGCUUUCCCGAAUAACAGCAAGGUGGGAAUAGACAGAUCUUAAAAGGAAGGGCAUGAAUUAUAAUAGACAAAAAAA